AAGACUAUACUUUCAGGGAUCAUUUCUAUAGUUCGUUACUAGAAUUAGAACCUUCACAAUGGGAAUCUGGGGCAUGCAUAUUAUUAGCAGGAUGGAAGGUAGUAUAAGUCAAACAAUGCA
ensembl:snoRNA LOC120103367 small nucleolar RNA U3